UCCUCUUUACUAGAAUCAACACUAAUACAAAGGAAACAAGAAAACUAAGAAGAAGAGAUAGCAUCAAGCUUAUCCCCGGCUCAGUACUAUCGUGGUCUGGCAUUUUCUUCCCCUCUCCCAUCCUCCUUAUACUACCCUGAGAUACCAAAUCUUAUACUACAAAUGAUAACUAUUUUUCCUAACUAUUCAUCCAUUCUACCUAUUGAACCACCUUUUCAGCAGUUAUCUAUCCCUAUUUAUACUAUACACUAGGUAUCUACAUUCUGAAAAUAACUACUUAUUCUACCCUCCUCAUGUAAUUCAAUUACUCAAUACUCUAAUUACAUGAUCAAUAACUCAUAAAUCAAUCUCUGAUUUAUUUCA
rnacentral:lncRNA from 1 species